rnacentral:rRNA from 1 species
UACGUAGGGUGCAAGCGUUGUCCGGAAUUAUUGGGCGUAAAGAGCUCGUAGGCGGUCUGUCGCGUCGGCUGUGAAAACCCGGAGCUCAACCUCGGGCCUGCAGUGGGUACGGGCAGACUGGAGUGCGGUAGGGGAGAAUGGAAUUCCUGGUGUAGCGGUGAAAUGCGCAGAUAUCAGGAAGAACACCCGUGGCGAAGGCGGCUCUCUGGGACGGUACUGACGCUGAGACGCGAAAGCGUGGGGAGCGAACAGG